UACGUAGGCAGCAAGCGUUGUUCGGAGUUACUGGGCGUAAAGGGUGUGUAGGCGGUUGUUUAAGUUUGGUGUGAAAUCUCCCGGCUCAACUGGGAGGGUGCGCCGAAUACUGAAUGACUUCGAGUGCGGGAGAGGAUAGUGGAAUUCCUGGUGUAGCGGUGAAAUGCGUAGAUAUCAGGAGGAACACCUGCGGUGUAGACAGCUUUCUGGACCACUUCUGACGCUGAGACACGAAAGCGUGGGUAGCAAACAGG
rnacentral:rRNA from 1 species